CGCCCCAGGGGGAAUGAACAGAACAGGUAAUCAUCAAGUGAUCCAUCCCCUGUUGCCCAUUCCCAACUUCUGGCAAACAGAGGCUAGGGAUACAAUCCCUGCCCAUCCUGGCUAAUAGCCAUUGAAGGGGUCCCUAUACACUGACCUAAUACAAACACUAAUAAUAUGAUGAUAUGUGACUAUUUUUGUUGGGUUAGUGCUGAUGAUUACAUAUAAGGAUUACUCACAUGUAACACAUUGAGGGAUUGGACCCUUAGUCAUUUUUAUAUACUUUUUUUUUUUUAAAAAUGAAAAAGUGAGUGAGUUUAGUCUUUUUUUCCCCGCUCAGCCUACACUUGAAGUAUAUUGCCCUCUGGAAGGAUGUUACUUCAGUUGCAGUAUUAAUCCUUGAUGCUUGCUAAUUUUUUUCCUAUCCCUUUGGGCAAUAUUUCAGUGUUCUUCAUCUGUUUCUCUCAGAGCUACUAAUGAUUAGCUAAUAUUUUUUUGUAACAGUUGGGUUGUUAAAGUGAUUGAUAAUAUACGUUGACUGCAGUUAUUAAAUAUCAGUCAACUCUCCCAUUUAAAAAAUACUAUUCAUAUACUUGUAGCAGUUUCAAUUUCACAAAGUUGGGUGAAGUGUGUCAGACUUUUAAAACAGACUAAAAUUUCGAUCUGAAAGUACCAGUUGAGAUCUAGAUGACAGGAAACCAAAUGACUAAUCUGUACAGUACUUCAUUAUUACAGAAGGAAAUCUGCAUGGGCACAAUAGGUUUAUCACUUUCCCCAGUUUAAAUUUUAAAAUAUUUAAUUUCCUUCAUGUAAAAUCCUCCUUCCAUUUUCAGAAUUCUGUGGCUCUCCUUUAAUCUUUACCCUCAAUUAAAAACAUCUCCUGUCACCUCUUACUGAUACAAGUGGGCACUUACACAAUUUUCGUGUGCUUAUUCAUUACAUUUACUCUAAUGUACACUUAAUGGUAUUAUGAGGUGUUGGUAAAUUUUGGGAGAACAUUUUACGGCCUUUUCCCAAAGAUCUUGCUACAAACCAAUGGUACUCAAGUGGAUAGCACAUUCCAAGUAGAUACUACAGCUGUGCAUGAUGCCUUGUGAAUUGCACGUGUUUCUUAAAUCUUUGGUUCUGCCCUGAGCUGUCAACACUUCAGUUAGGCUAAGGGGCAUGCUAUCUGCUACAUACAGUGGCAAUUACCAUGAUUUUGCAAAGAGAUUCUCAUCCCAUUUGUAUCUUGGCUAAUUUUUUCCCCAUUUUUAUUUUGUCAUUAUUAACAAACAUGACUUUUCCAUUCAUGUAUUAACAAAUAUUGUAAUUCUUAGCCUGUAUUUGUUACAUUGAAAAGAUGUUUUUGUGUUUGGUCAAAUUCUGUGUAUUUUUGGUCAAAUUCCCCAAAAUGCUAACCAUAUCUCAUAAAAUCUAGCUGAUCCUGGUAUAAGGCUGUCUAUCUUUUCCCCCCAUUGAAUGGAUUUCACAUACUUCAUUUCUCCAUCUCCAUGCUAGUAAUCUGUUCUUUUCCAAAAAGGGGCUAUUUUAGAUCUGGCUUCUGGCAGUAGUUGUGUUUUCAAUGUGUCCUUCCUUGAGUCAAUAACCUCCUUUAGAUUGUAACCCGGUAGAAUUGCUAUGGGUUCUGUGAGUAGCCUAAAUGGAGUGGGUAGUUUUUCUUUACUGGUAUUCAAUCUGCCUGUUCCAAUGGGGAUUAUUGAGACUGUGAUGGAAAUCCAUACAAACGGGCAUUUCCACUUUUUAAUGAAAAGUUUCUGUUGGGGCUUUAACCUCCUGACAGGGCGGUAUCUUCCUUCUCUGAGUCACUAAAGAUUUGUGCAUGUGUACUAUCAGCAUGUUGCAUUUUCUGCAUACACAGCAGAAAUGCACUGGGCCCUGUUCUUCUUAUUUUUAUAUGACAUUCCAAUGUUACCUCUAGACUUAAUUAAUGCAGGGCACAAAACUCACUGAUUACAUUUGGAGUGUAUUCUUUCUGACUUUGGCCCUUUGCAUCGAUAAACUUGUAUUAAGAGCUGUUAGUUUAUUUAACAUUACGUUGAAGCUACACAUUUUUAUUUUUCAGUCCUAGCUGACCCUUGGGGAGCAAUUUCUGAUUUAAUUGGUGUGACAAUCUGUACCCCUGUGUUCACCCUUUUUACAAGACUAAGAUAAAUUUUGUACCAAGUAUGCCUUGUGAGGUAUCAUUUGAAAACUCAUAAUCCGCUGAACAUUAAAGUAGUGGUUAAAUAUGUGUGGCAACACGGUUUGUAAAGUUAUAAAAUUCUACUGUAUAAGACAUAUUCCAACUAUGGGGAAACAGCUUCAAACCAGUUCCCCAGGGACAAAAGGCUAGCCAAUGCCUCAGCCAGGUAUCAACAAAGUCAAAUGGACUAUCAUCUGUUAGGUGGCCAUUCUUUGGCAGGAAGAAGAGUAUAAGCAAAAACAUUUACAUAGCAUCAAAGAAAACAGCUUGGAGGUUCCUGUCCCCCAGACCUCUUGUCUUCUGAACCUCAGCUGGAAAUGAUCUUCAAAGGGAAAAGAGAACUAUAAGAAAUGAGAAGAGAUUCCCCCAAAAUACUCCUGCCUUUCUCUCUGCCUGUGAAGCCACAACACCUGAAAGACAGAGAGAGAAAGCUUUGAACUAGGAGUAGGGUCCUGGCUGAAAGGAUUUCAGCCAGUGAGACUGCAAAAGUGUGUGCUGCUACAGGUGGGCUUUCUACGCAUUGUAACUGAUCCAGAAUUUGGCAGCUAGCACACCAACUUUCAAGAGGGAUGCUGUUGGUUUCCGAGCUGAUAAGCAGCCGACUUCUCCAAAACGGAGCUUUGAAAGGGCAUUUCCGCAUUCCUGCAGCCGAUUUCACAACAAUGACAAGAGUGGCCACUUGACUUAAGGGGAUUAUGGGACGUUUCUGGAGGCUGAUCAGAGCGCA